UGUUCGGGUUGUCAUGCCAAUGGCACUGCCCGGUAGCUAAAUGCGGAAGAGAUAAGUGCUGAAAGCAUCUAAGCACGAAACUUGCCCCGAGAUGAGUUCUCCCUGAGACUUAGAGUCUCCUGAAGGAACGUUGAAGACGACGACGUUGAUAGGCCGGGUGUGUAAGUGCAGCGAUGCGUUGAGCUAACCGGUACUAAUGAACCGUGAGGCUUAACCUU
rnacentral:rRNA from 1 species